AGGUUCGUCCGCUCCAAGUUAGGCGGGAGCUAAGGUGAGGCCGAAAGGCGUAGCUGAUGCACAGACGGUAGAGAUUCCGUCCCCACCGAAAGAUUUAAGCGCAGGGACACUUUUAGAAGGUCGGAACCAGGUGUUGGUUCUGGUAGAGAUCGAGGGAAGAUUAGUACCGAAGUCCGGCUGGAUAAGAGGCGAGAAAAGCUGCGUGUAUAUCUAAGGUGCCCGUACCGCAAACCGACACAGGUAGGUAGGAAGAAGAUUCUAAGGCCAACGGGAGAAGGGUUGUUAAGGAACUCGGCAAGUUGACCCCGUAACUUCGGAAUAAGGGGUGCUCAUGAAAGUGAGCCGCAGAGAAUAGGCCCAGGCAACUGUUUACCAAAAACACAGGUUUGUGCUAAAUCGAAAGAUGACGUAUACGAGCUGACGCCUGCCCGGUGCUGGAAGGUUAAAAGGAGAUGUGCAAGCAUUGAAUUGAAGCCCCAGUGAACGGCGGCCGUAACGAUAACGGUCCUAAGGUAGCGAAAUUCCUUGUCAGGUAAGUUCUGACCCGCAUGAAAGGCGUAAUGAUCUGGGCACUGUCUCAACAGCCCGCCCGGCGAAAUUGUAGUACCGGUGAAGAUGCCGGUUACCCGCGACAAGACGGAAAGACCCCAUGGAGCUUUACUGUAGCCUAAUAUUGGGUUUCGGUGUUGCAUGCACAGGAUAGAUGGGACGCUGGGAAGUGAGUGCUUUGGCAUUCAUGGAGCGGCCGUUGGGAUACCAUCCUUGCGACAUUGGAAUUCUAACCUGCGCCUUUGAAUCAAGGCGGGGGACAUUGUUAGGUGGGCAGUUUGACUGGGGCGGUCGCCUCCUAAAGAGUAGCGGAGGCGUUCAAAGGUUGGCUCGUCCUGGACGGAAACCAGGAGAGAGAGUGCAAACGCAAAAGCCAGCCUGACUGCGAGACUGACGGGUCGAGCAGAGACGAAAGUCGGAGUUAGUGAUCCGGUGGUAUGUGAGUGGAAAUGCCAUCGCUCAACGGAUAAAAGUUACCCUGGGAUAACAGGCUGAUCUCCCCCAAGAGUCCACAUCGACGGGGAGGUUUGGCACCUCGAUGUCGGCUCAUCGCAUCCUGGGGCUGUAUUCGGUCCCAAGGGUUUGGCUGUUCGCCAAUUAAAGCGGUACGCGAGCUGGGUUCAGAACGUCGUGAGACAGUUCGGUCCCUAUCUGUCGUGGGCGCAGGAUAUUUGAAAGGCGCUGUCCCUAGUACGAGAGGACCGGGAUGGACGAACCUCUGGUGCACCAGUUGUCACGCCAGUGGCACAGCUGGGCAGCUAUGUUCGGAUCGGAUAAACGCUGAAAGCAUCUAAGCGUGAAGCCGGCCUUAAGAUAAGAUAUCCCACUGAGACAAUCAGGUAAGACCCCUUGAAGACUACAAGGUUGAUAGGCACAAUGUGUAAGUGGCGUGAGUCAUUGAGCAAGCGUGUACUAAUAGGUCGAGGGCUUGACC
rnacentral:rRNA from 1 species